rnacentral:rRNA from 1 species
AACGAACGCUGGCGGCGCGUCUUAAGCAUGCAAGUCGUACGGUAAGAGAGGAGCUUGCUUCUCUCCUAGAGUGGCGGACUGGUGAGGAACACGUGGGUAAUCUACCCUUAAGUUGGGGAUAGCUGCUAGAAAUAGCAGAUAAUACCGAAUGCACUCGGUCUUUCAUAAGAGAGAUUGAGGAAAGAGGCUACGGCCUCGCUUGAGGAUGAGCUUGCGUCCCAUAGCUAGUUGGUGAGGUAAAGGCUCACCAAGGCAACGAUGGGUAUCCGGCCUGAGAGGGUGAUCGGACACAUUGGGACUGAGAUACGGCCCAAACUCCUACGGGAGGCAGCAGCUAAGAAUAUUCCGCAAUGGACGAAAGUCUGACGGAGCGACGCCGCGUGGAUGAAGAAGGCUGAAAAGUUGUAAAAUCCUUUUGUUGAUGAAGAAUAAGGAUAAGAGGGAAUGCUUAUCUGAUGACGGUAAUCAGCGAAUAAGCCCCGCUAAUUACA